UGUAACGAGCUGACAUAGAAACCCCGAAGUUCGGCAACUGCAAAAAGAACACCAAGUAUAAUAAUUGCUAAUCCUGAAUAUUGUAGGUAAAUAUGAAUUUGGUACCAUCCAUCACCCUUUACAUGUUUUAGGUAUCUAGCAGCCAAUAUUCCACCAGGAAUCAAAAUACCCCAGGAGAGGAACAGCAUAAACCCAUGUACAGCUUUGACAGGUUGUAAACCUUGCUCAGCCUCGGAAGAACCACGGAUAAGCAGCACUUGCACUGACAGUAUGCAUGUUUUUCUCACUGAGAUGUUCAUCAGUCCACUUUGAACCCAUUGCCCAUAUGACUUUAAGAGGAGUUGUAGGAUGAACAAUGUUCUUGCACUCUGGCUUAUCAUUUUGAUUGCAUGAUGGUUUUAAUGGACGUGUGAAUUCCAAAGUAAUGAUGCCAUCUUCUGACCUGCACCUGACGUGUGUCAGAUUCUCAUUUGUUGGAUGGAUGUUCAAGGGAUACUUUCCAUCAAUGCAAUAUGUAUUUAAAUGCCAUUUUCCAGUAUCACCAAUCCAGCCCACAUAUGCAUAGCUAUUCACCAUCCCAUUACCGAAACCUAUUGCAAGAUAGCCACUCUUAUUCACACCAAGGGCAGCAAUAGUUAUUGAAUCUUCUGAUAACGUCCAAAAGAAAGUAACUUGAUCAUCUAAAUGCACACUAGUGUUAUACAUAUCAGACAGGGCACCAUCAAAAUCUUGAACUUUCCAUCCCAUCUUCUCUUGGUACAAGGAUUGAUAAUACACUUGAUCGGGGGUAUUCCUAUCAGGAACCGAAAUCAAUUCGUGAGGAUUUGCUACAACUCCUUCCGCUUCUGGCUCUCCAGAAUAAAUAGUCUCAGUUGCAUUCCUUAAUGUAGCAUUCCCACCUAGAGAAUCUGAAGUAAUAUACAAUGCAACAUCAUGCCCUACUUGCACCAAAAACUUAACUGGAACCCCUCUUUCCACUCUCAACACCGGUGCUUACUUAUUAUUAAUACACAAAACCUUAGUCAGACUUGGUGGAUUUGGAUAAUGCAACACCUCCCCUGUUGUAGCAACAAGGGAGACUUCUAUAUCAGCAAUAAUCAACUAUUGAUCCUCAGUAUCAUUAGCAUCCAAUGGCCCGAAACAAUCAUCUACCUUCUCUGAAACAUGAAGCACCAAAUGUCCUUAUCCAACCUUCUCUGGACCCCCAUGAAAUUGGGGCAAAAAAUGAGACCGAUUUUCAUUCGGUGGUUUCAUCAACCCUAAUGCCUAAAUAACCCUCAGAUCCUCAUUAGGAUACACAGGCAAAUCAUACUUCUUAUUUGUCGAAUUCAAUGGUUUCCUAAACAUAAUUAAAGAAACCCCAUCUCUCCUAUGUCCAUAAACCAACAUAGUAUUAUUCACCAUUAUGCCAUUUUUCGAGUUCUCAUAAACUACAUCAGGGAAAACACCUAUAGCUGUACGAUCUUUAAAACUCAACUUACAUUCACUAUAAGCCGUAAUGUAAAAAUCAUCAACAAAAGGCCUACCUUCCUCAGUAAAACUUGCCACCGUAACAUCAGCUUCGGACAUCAGCUCAUUCGUCCUAUUCAGAUUCGCCCACCCAAAUGCCAUGUAAUAGGUCGUCGGUGCCCCUGCUUUUAACCCGAUCUCGAUCCAAUUUUCCUCCACAUUCAAGUUCCACCGGACCCUAUAAUUAUUCGAAAAAUUCUUACAGUUAUCAAACACUGUAUACACCAUGUUUGAAACCAAAUCUGACUCGUUUCGAGGGAGGGUGACAUGGCCGAAGUCUGAGGUGCUGGCGAUGUCCCAGAUUGAAAGAACGUUGAUCUGGUCCCAGGUUAUGUCGGGGAGCAAUUGGACUGAAAAUGAUGCAUUUUUGUAAGCUGUUUGAUUGAGGCGUUGAUCGGAGAUAGGGAACCCGCUGGUGAGGUUAGAGAAGUUGAGGGAGACGGCACCCCAAAAAACGAUGUCAGAUGAGCCAGAUAACAUGUCAAAUAAUUAUUCAUAAAUUUAUACAUUCUUUGCAUAUUCUUGGGUACCUACAAUAGGUCCUUGAAUAUCAACGACAUGAGUGACGCUGCUACAGACUCAGAAUCUCCUUUUGAGCGAGACAUGUGUUUAGAGGGAUCUCAUGACUUUGAAAAUGACAUAGAUUGUAGCCCAUCUCCGGACUUGUUAAGGAUGGUAGAACAAGAUGAAAAACAAAUCCUACCUUACAAAGAAUCAAUGGAGUCCAUGGCUUUUCUCUAUGUGGGGCAUGGAUGUCAUUAGGCUGAUUUUGGCAAAAGCUUCUAGCGGUCAAGAAUUCAUCUUUGCAGCCGUCGAUUACUUCACUAAGUGGGUGGAAGCUGCUUCAUAUGCUAAUAUCACAAAGUCGACUGUCAGCAAAUUUUUGAAAAAAUCAUAUGUCGGUAUGAAAUGCCAAAAAGGAUCAUAUCCAACAAUGUACUAAAUUUGAACAACAGCACGAUAUCAAAAGUUGGCUGUCUGUUCAAGAUUAACACCAUAUCGCCCCAAAGUGAACAGUACAGUGGAGGUAAAAAAAAAGUGAACCUCUACCGGGGCAACAUCUUUCUCUUUGGCUUAUUGCAAUUUUUUACCCAUUGAAGUCGAGAUUCUUUCAUUGGAACUUUUUGUGGAUCUAAUCUCGAUUGAAGAGGAGUGUUCAAAGUUAUCUGUCAUGGUCAAAUAUACCAAAAGCAAAUUAUGCAAGCUCACUAAAAAAGUUUGCCCCAAAGAAUUCCAUGAGAGAGAUCUAGUAACGAAGAAGAUUUUUCCCAUACAAAAAGAACUUCAUAAGAAAAUGGAUGUCAAACUCGGAAGGACCUUAUAUGGAAGGUCUUAUAUAGAAAAGUGUUGAUUUUGAUCAGAAGGGAUAACAAGGACAUGCCUAAUCCUAUGAGUUCAGAUUAAAUCAAAAAAUAUUUCAAAAAAGAGAGAGAAGAAGAAAAGAAUAGAAAAAGAAAAAGGAAAGGCCAAGGUGAAAACCAGCAAAGGGCGCCUUGAGACCAAAAGGGAUUUGAGUUGAAAAUCCGCAACGGGUGGCUCAAGUUUUGGAUAAAAAUGGGGCAUGAAGGGAUCAGAGCAACUCAAAUUUUAAUCAGAUUGGAGCAUGUGGUGAUCUUGCUAUACCUGAAUCAAUAAGAAAGGGUAGAUGACAUCUUGGGGCAUCGACAAAGUCCUGUAGAUCUCCUAAACACAUGUUAAACUCAGAAUGGUCUUUCAAAGAGUUUGUAUACAUAAGUUCAAGCUACGAUAUCUGGGGCACCUAAUCUUGAUACUAUUUAUAUUGAAUUUGCUAUCUUGGAAUACUUUAUUCUUUUUCAAGAUACGUGUUCCCAAUCAAUUCCUCUUUUAUUCUUACUAUCCUUGAUAAUUUAUUAAUUUCGAGCCAUGCUCCCAAAUCAAUUCUAUUUUAUCCAUUGUUAUGGUCUUUUUGUAAGCAUGUUACAUUAGAAUAACAAUUAAUGGAUUGAAUAUUCAAGCAAAAGAAGUUUUGCAUAUUACUCUAGAAGUUUCUAAAUAAUAUAGGAACUUGAAACAGGACUAUUGUUUAGAACACACCAAGUUUAAAGGUUGAAAUGUCUAAGGAGGAAAAGUCUAAAUUAAGACUACCCAUUCGAAUUUUAUUGUCAAAAUAUUGAUUGAAAAAAAACGACAAGAUGUCAUGUUGGUGACAAGCUUCAAUGAUCACCGAGUGAUAAAAAGAGGUUUCUCGGAAGAGAAAGUUCUACAGUUGAGCAUAAACAUUUGGUACGACACCCUGAGAAUGGUGUAGGAGACCAAAAGGAUUCAAAUCCUAUAUCCUUGAAUUACAGUGGGAGAGGAUUAAGAAAGCCAGAUCUUAUACUCAAUGGGAGGAAGACAGUUCAAAUUUUAUGUCCCAAAGGUACAGUGAAUUGAACCUUGAAAAUUACAGUGGGGGCAAUCCGGUUAAGUAAGAUAUGAGCAUUACCAACCGGAAAAGAUAGCAUUCUGACAUGUUGGCAAUAAAACCUUAUUGAACAAUGAGCAAUAACAACUCAAACAUUGAGGAAUCAUUUUCAUGACAUUUUGCAUUCAUGCAUGCACAUUUAGUUAGGAGAUUUUGAUUCGUUCCGAUCAUACUAUUCUAAUCACUAGGCAUAAAUAGGCCCAUGAAAUGGAUUCUAUAGGUUUUGUUCCAGUGAUGUUAAGCCUUUGACUAGUAAUAUGAGUAAUAUUGGGCUCCAAAUAUUCCGAUCAUAAUAUUCUAAUCACUAGGCAUAAAUAGGCCUCUGAGAGGGAUUCUACAGGUCAUGUUCCCCAGAGAACAGAUCGGUGAAACCAAAAAUCUUUUCUCCCUGAAGUUGCAGUGGAGCAGACUGAAGGUAGCGAAUCUUAUUUCCCUGGCUUUGCAGUGGAACAGAUUAAAGCUAAAGGUAGCGAAUCUUGUUUCCCUGGCAUUGCAGUGGAAUAGAUUAAAGCUGAAGUAUAGCGGAUUAAAGCUGAAGGCAGUGAAUCCUAUCUCCUUGGCUUUGCAAUGGAACAGAUUAAAGCUAAAGGUAGCAAAUCUUGUUUCCCUGGCAUUGCAGUGGAAUAGAUUAAAGCUGAAGGCGGUGAAUCCUAUCUCCUUGGCAUUACAGUGGAAUAGAUUAAAGCUAAAGGUAGUGAAUCUUGUUUCCCUGGCAUUGCAGCGAAGCAUAUUAAAGCUGAAGGCAACGAAUUGUAUCUCCUUGGCAUUAAAGACUAAAGACAACAAAUCUUAUCUCUAAUUGAAGCCAGACUACAAAUCUUAUAUCUCUAAAGUUGCAGUGGAGCAGAUUAAAGCCAAAAACCUUAUCUCUCUGAAGUUGCAGUAGAGUAGGUUGAAAGAAACUAAUCCUAUCUCCCUGAAGUUGCGGUGGAGCCACAGAUCUUAUUUCUCUGAAGUUAUAGUAGAGUAUACAAAAGAAACCAAUCCUAUCUCUCUGAAUUUGCAGUGGAGCGGAUUAAAAUGAUGGAUCUUAUCUCUCUGAAGUUGCAGUAGAGCAUAUCGCAUCAGACUUUAUUUUCUUAAAGAUGCAGUAAAUCAAGUUGAAGCUACAAGUCUUAUAUCACUGAGGUUUCAGUGUAGCAGACUAAAAAUUGCAUAUCUUAUCUCUCUAAAGUUGCAUAGAGCAGAUCAUAGCAAACAUUAUCUCCCUGAAGUGCAGUGGAGCAGUUGCAGUAUAGUAGAUUGAAACAACACUUCCUAUACCUCUGAAUAUGUAGUGAAUUGGAAUGAAGCUACCUUAAGAAGAAAAGCAUCAAAGUAAGUCAAGAUCUGGUGAGACCGGGCAAAAUUGGUCCUUUUUGAAGUCUUUGCUCCGUUCUCGUUACACGACAAUGAGCAAAGAGGGGCAACUGUAGUGACCCAUUUUUGCCCGGGGCCCAAUAUGACCCAAACAAAACCAAACACAAAAUGAAAACAAAACCUAAACUAAUUAGCAGCCCAUUUUACAACUGGCCCAAACAGCCCAAACUAAACCUAACAACCCUAGCCCAACAGAAUCAGAAAAAUGAAUAGUAAAAAAAAUACCCUAGGUGCACCGCACCUAGGUCUUCUGACCCCUAGCCGCUAGCCUGCCUGCACCGCCUCUGCAACCAUCACAGCAGGCCUCUGGCACCUACAAAACAGAGAAUAACACGCAACAACAAAUGCAAUAAAAAACAACAUGGAAACGGACAAAAAAGAAGAAGCAAACAGUUUUCGAUUCGGCUAUAAAAGCCCGAACUUUAUCUUUUUAUUUUUUUACCAGCACCAGUGAAUCAAAAUAGCAGAAAAGUCUUAAAAAGUGUUUAGAUCUUUUAUUUUAUUUUAUUUUAUUUUUUUUCUCUUCGUGUUCUUGUUCAUUUUUUAUGUUUGUUUACUAUUUUUUUAUAUAUGGAACUAUCUCAACAAAAAACGCAAUAAAAGAAAAAAAGGGAAGGGGUACCUAUCGGUUCUGAAAGCCUAUUGCCGGAGGCCUUCUUUUGGCAUUGGAAUCGGAUCGAAAAGGGUGUGAAAGAUCCCAUCUAUUCGGCCUUUUGGGUCAAGAGAAUUGGGUUUCUAACAAGGAUUUGGAACGGGGUUAAAAAACCCAAUCUUUGCCUAGCUCCGACCACCGCCUGCGGCGGCGCGGCCGUUCGCUGGUGGUGACCAUGGCCGGAGGAGGGGAAAGGUUUUGAAAGAAAAAGAGGAAGUUUUUUAAAAAUUUUUAAAUGGUGGUAGAAAUGAAUUUUUUUUAAAAAAAUUGGGCUUAAAUAGCCCCUUAAAACAGCGCCAUUUCAUCUGACCUCCCUAGGCGCCAAAACGGCGUCGUUUUGGGGAGGUCGACCCGAAAUCGACCCGACCCAGGCAGGAUCCGUGUGUUUUUUUAGCGGAAGGGAUAAUUGCGCCUUCAUCCCUUCCGUUUUUUAAUUUUUUUAAAUUAGGUUUUUUUUUAUUUUUUUUAAUUUUACCUCGCGUUUUCAGCGAUUUCAAUUUGGUCCUCGCUAGACGACGCCGUUUUGGAGGAGAAGGGAAAAUUGCCCUUUUAGUCCCUCCAUGUUAUGCGCGCAUUCAGAAAGGUCCCCUAUUUUUAUUUAUUUGCAGAUUUGCCCCCCAAAGUUCUGUUUUAAGUUCAAAUCAGUCCCUUUUUGUUACUUUUUGCUAUUAAAUUAAUUAAUUUUAAUGGUGUUAUCAUUAUUUUUACCAUUAUUAUUAUUUUUAAUAUUACUGUUACCAUUAUUGCGUUUAUUAUUAUUACUUACCUUAUUAUUAUAAUUAUUUUCUCAUUCAUACUUUUUUUUUAAUUUAAUUUCAAAUUUAGUUAUAUAUAUGCGUACAUACUUUUUCAUAUUAUCUAUAUCUAUGUACACGUGUAUAUAUAUAGAUAUAUAUAUUUAUAUUUUAUAUACAUAUCUACAUAUCUACAUAUAUAUAUAUAUUAUAUUUUCAUGAAUACAUAUACAUACUUAUAUAUAUUUUUUAUAUUUUAUAAUUUUUGUAUGCAUAUAUAUACAUACAUAUAUAUCUUUUUACAUUUUUAUAAUUUUAUUCAUCUUCUUUAUUUAUUUAUUUAUUUAUUUACGUUUUCAUUAUUAUUUUGAAAGAAUGUUUUAAUUUUAUUUGCUUAUAUACUUGUUAUUUUGUAUGAUAUUGAUUUGUCCUUUUAUUUAUCUUAUUUUGUUGCUAUUGCUCGUAUUAUUUUUACAUUAUCGUAUUCAUUAUUGUUUUGUUACGCAUAUUAAUACCAUGUUUUAUUUCUACCAUUUCGCGUUAGAUUAAUUCUAUUUUGAUGCAUGAAUUGCGACUUUAAAAUAAUUAAAAUUUCGUAUUUUGAUUUGAAAAGAUCGUACCCUAACUUACGGGGUUUCGAUUUUCUCGGUAUAUUCAAAUAAACGAUUGUUUUUUUAACAAAAUUUUUUAAAAUAAUCUCGAGAAUUAAGAAAAUCAUAUUCUAACUUACGGAGUACGAUGUUUUUCUAAAUUCGAGAUAAUCGAGUGUCUUUCAAAUAAGUAAAUUUUUCGGCAUAUAUUCUCGUAUCGGGAAUUCGAUACAUUGUGUCCUAAUGCAUUGGAUAUGACAUGUUGUUUUCCCGAGAUGAGGAUUUUUCUAAAAAAUAAUAAAGGCAAUAUUCAAUGUUUGAAAUUUUGAGAAAUUGUGCCCUAACGUAUUGGGCUGCGAUUUCUUCAACUGAAUUAAACAAUUGAAUAUCCUUUUAAAUUUUAUUACACGAGUUGUUUUAGGACAAGCUCAUUUUUGAGGAGGUGAAAUAUCAUGCCCUAACUCAUUGGGUUUGAUAUUUUCUCUCUCCAAAAUGAGAGGGUCUUAACGGGUAAUUUGUUUUAUACAAUUUUUUUUAAAUACAAGGAUCGUAUUUUAAAAUCUUUGCUCAUUUUUUAUAUUAAGACACUAAUUAAAAAGCUAGGUACCAAUUUUGGGCGCAUUGAGGGUACUAAUCCUUCCUCGUGCGUAACCGACUCCAGAACCUAUUUUUUGGUUUUUUGUAGACCGAAAAAUAAUGUUUUAAUAAAUCAAACUAUUUAUUAAAAUGAUUAAAUUGUGAGGUGAUCCGAUCACACCUCAUUAAAAAAAUUGGUGGCGACUCCCGUAGCUUUGAGGGAAAAAAAAGACAGAAAAAGAAUUUUAAAGACACAAAUUAAUAAAAUAAUUUUUUAAUCUACAUUAUAUUAAAACACACACACAAAAAAAAAAUCACCUCAUUUUCCCGUAGCUUAUUAUUUACAGUUUUUCUUGCAAUCCAAGUGCGAGAUGAUCACAAAUUCCAAUUGGCAAUUGGAAAAUGAGAUACGAUUUUUAUGUUGUUUUUUUUUUUCAUUUUUAAAUAUAAUAAAGGCGAAAUUGACGGAAGGGAAACUUUCUCCUUGGUUUAAAAGUCCAGAUAUCAAUUACAAGACAUAAAAAACAACGACAAGUAUUGGUGGCAAGUAGAUGAUAGUGAGUGACACUAUUUGAUUUAGUCUAAUUAUUAUAACAUGUUUGAUUGAAACUAUUUUGUAAUCUCUGAUUAAAUAAAUAUUGAGAGGAAAAGACUUAAAUUUUCUUCUUUUCCUUAGCUAUAAAAUUGAAUUUCUAGUUUGGAUUACAUGCCUGUGGUUCUCAUCUCUAGAUAUGUAAGGCUGAGUCGCUGUUAGUUGGAUGGACCUACAUUGAAAACAUGAAUUGAAAAGAUAAGUAAUAGAAACUUUGUCAUAUUUAGACAAAUAUCAACCACAUCUUUAUUAACUUUUUACAUUUCUUAUCCCAAUAUUCAAAACCAAACAAUAAUACAUUCAUUGCAUGUUCCUUUUCUCAAAUAUCAUUUUAUUUAAUGUCAUUAGAGAUUACUCUAUUCUUUUUUCUUUGUGAUAAAAAUUGUUAAACAAAAAAUUAUUACAAAUGUUGUAGGAAUCUAUCCUUUGAGAUUGUUUGAUUCUAGUUUUUGACAAAUUGCUCAAAGUUGAUGGGAUAAAACAAGUGAGUUUGAUGGUGUUCGGAAACAAGCUUCGACGUUUAGUGAGAUCAAAAUUUGUUGGCAAAUUAAAUUACUCAAUGGGUAAAUAUCCAUGGAAGUUAUUGUCCCAGAGUGGGGCUGGACUUGGAUGGUGUCUGCGAGACUCAUUUUUAUCAAAUUCAAAUCAGUGGCAGUAAUACCGAUUAAAUUACAACUAGAAAUAAAAACAGAUCAGUUGGUUUGGUUGCGAAGAGGUUUCGAGGGUCAUGCUUGUUCCCUAUCAUCCCAAGUACUACUAAGUCAGUACCCCUCUAAAUGGGGGGAACUUUGUUGAUCUUUCAUUGGUUUAAAAGUCCAAAUACCAAUUGUAAGGCAUCAAAACAACAAAGACAAGUAUUGGGGACCAGCUGAAGAGAGUGAGUGACACGGUUUGAUUUAGAGUCUUAUGAUUGCAACAUGUUUGAUCGUGAUCCUCAACUUUGAUUGUAAUGUCUAACAAAAUAAAUACCCAGAUGAGAAGACCUUUUUUCUAUAAAAUCUAAAUUUCUAGUUUUGAAGGCAUGCCUGUAGUUCUCAUCUCUUACUUGUUCUGCACGGCUAAGUCGCAGUUGCUUCGAUGGACCUAUGUUGCCAACAAGUAAUAGAAACUUUGUAAUAUUCAGAUAGAUCAAAUUAAGCUUUUUGUGGACCAUCCUCAAAUAAUUAUUUUUGACAAUCUUGAAUUUAACAAUCUAGCUAUUAAAUUUAAUUAACAAUAUAAUUAUAGUUGCCUUGCAUUUAAAAUUUUAAUCUAUCAUUUCGGUCCAAAACUUUGUUUAUUUCAUAUAUAUUAUAUAAAGCAAAGUUUUUACGUAUUUUUGAAUGUAACUAAGUAAUUAAGCAUGUUUCUUCUACCGCGAGUCAAAAGUUUGCAGCAAUUUUAGCCAUUUCGUACACUAUAUAUCAUUAUAUUGUUGCAUUAAUUAAAGCAGAAUAAUAUAUAUUUCCAUAAGUUUUUAAAAAUAUCAUAAAUUUCCAUUGGGAAUCUUGUUGGUGUAUUCUAAAUUACAUAAUAAUCAGAAAUAUGAAAGAUUUCCAUAUAUUCUCGCCUUUUAGUAUAAGUAAUAAUAAAAAUUUUUGCUGAUUCACCUUUACUAUGAAAAUAAAAAAAAAAUUACAAAAUUAGAACCGUAAAUCAAUUUUGGUUUAAAAUUUUAAACCUACAUAUUAAAGAUAUCCUAACAAUUUUACUUUAUAAGAGCACAAUUUAUGGAAUAAUUUUUAUAUCCAAUCAAAGGCCUUUCAUUCUUAUAAAUAUCGGAAAUUACAAAGUUAAUCUUUGUGUAGAAAAUCUGAUAGGUAAGUAGCAUAGCAUCUAUCUAAUAGAUUAGGAAAUCUGUAGUCUUGAGAUGGAAUAGAUUUUACGGUCACAUUGGCAACCUUAAAUUAUAACCUUCUUUGAUCUCGUUUGCAUAACAUUCAUCUAAUUUUGAGAAAUCUUCACUUUUAAUUUCAAAAUUGUAAUUAAAUAGUUUUAUCCAAUUAAAUAAUAAUAAUAUAUGGCUAUGGUGAUGUCUAUAAUUUCAUAAAAUAAUUACUCUAAUCUAAUCCAUGUCUCUUUCUUUCUGAGUUUAUCAAGCAAUAAAUUCCCUUCGAUUUCACCUAACUUGUUAUAAUAAUGUUUUUUCAAAUUAGUUAAAGAAGAAAAUUUGUGAUGUUAUACUUAAAUUGAAUCUUUCGAUUUAUUAGGAAUUGCUUUUAAAUUAGAAAGAUCAAAAUUUAAGUAGAAUCACUUAGAGAUGCUAGUGGGGAAAGUUUUGCGGGUCCCGCCCUACUUCGUGCUCGAUUGACAGUGGGAUGGGGACAAAAAUUAAACCCGUUGUGAGUGGUGGGGUAGGCGUGAGUAUGACCUUGUACCUACCUCAUCCCCACCUACCCCAUCCCAUCCUACAUAAUAUAAUAAACAUAUUUAAAAAAUAAACAUUUAUAAAAAAAAUAUUUCAAUAAUUAUUUUAAUAGUAUUUAAUUUUUGCUCUUGUGUUGCAUUUGAAGAUAUUUAUGAUGUAUUUGAGAUAUUGUUUGUAUUUUGAUAUUAUGUAAUGACUUUAUUUUUUGAAUUUUUAAACUUGAAACUAUAUCUUAUUUACCGAUUAAAGGUCGUAACGACUUAACUUUUUUUUAAAUAGUAAAUAGUGACAGUUAGAAUAAUGUCACAUAUGUGGUGGGAGUCUGGAGGAUAUAUAUUUUAUACUUUUGUCACAAAAAAUUGGUUUAUAUUUAUUUAACUGAUACUUAUAAAUAUAUCAUAUGAAGUGGGUCAUAAGGCAAAUAUAGCGAGGAUUAGGUGGGUUGUGGGUGGUAGGGCGAGGAUGAAAAUUGUGUAAGUCAAAGUCUGUGUAAUUUGUAGUAAUGCAUACCAAGAAGGAAUCUUCUGCCCUCUCUCUUUCUAUCUCUGUCUUCCUCUCAUUUUGGUGUAUUGUUUGUUUGGAUGUGUUUUGUCUUGUGUUGAUCUCAUUUGUUUUGUUCCAGUGAUGUUAAGCCUUUGACAAGUAAUGCAAGACUGCAUGUCUACACCAUUAUUCACUAUUCAACAAUACAUUACUUAUUUUUUUCUUUGUGAUAAAAUUUAUUAACAACAAAUGCUACGCUUGUUUUAUGGAUAAAGCAAUGUUUAUUUAAUAUAUCCACAACAAUAUCAGUCUGAUUUACUGAAAAAUAUAUAUUAUAUAUCCACAACAAUAAAUUAAUUUCCAGUUAUACGUCUCAUCCAAUAAUAAUAUUUUCACUAUUACCAAAUAUUUGCUCUUUUAAUAAUUGGUUAGAAAAUGGCGUUCAACAUGAAUUUAGACAAAUAGUUUAGUAGUAGAUUAAAUUCUUUGGAUAUAUUAACCAAAUCCACAUCAACAAAUUUUACCUCUGAUGGAUUCAAUUGAACAUAUAAAAUAAUAACUUGUUAGAAGGGUUGAUUAAUUGGAAAGCAUAGAAUGGGUUAAUCAAUUAGAAAACUAGAAAUUAUUAAACUUAAGGAUAUAAUUUUAUAUUGGAAUUAUUCAGUGGGAUGAAGAGUAAAUUUCAAGUAGCAAAAGGAUGGAUCCAUCUCUCUCCCUUCCAUAUUUAGUCUUUUGCAAAUCUUCAAGAAUAAGCUGAUGUACAGUUAUUUUACUUUGAAUGCAUGAGUCUAUGGUAAGAAAGGGGUCCCAGCAGCAAGGUAAAAUGGUAAGUGUUGAAACAGAAAAUAAAAGAAAUGUAGCCGCCGUGGGUCUUAUGGAAUUAGUAUGAUUUAACGAUGAUGGGGUGUUAUGGUGCUUUGGAAUCAUCGUUUUUUUUAAGAUGAUUUGAUUUGGUGAAAGGGAGAGGGCCCGAUGUGGGUAUUUGGUUGCAUCUUUAUUGUUGUACAAAAAUCUUGCUAGUUGGAGGAUCAACUUUCCUUUUAAUUUUAAUAAAAAUUAUAUAUGAACUUGUGAACUUGUAUUCAAAUUGAAUCUUUCCAUUGAGUCGGCUCUUGCAAGUCAAUGCAGCAAUCAAGAACCAUAUUAUUAAUACCCAGCUAAGAUCGUGGACGUUUUCUACUCUAUAUCUUUCUCCUAAAUGCUUCAUUCCAGUGAAAAGUGCUGCAAUUCCUACAGUAAUGGCAACUCUGCCGAUAAUUACAUGGAAAUACUCCCAAAUUAAUCUCUUUGUGGAAGCGUCCUCCCUAUUAGCAGGUUUCUCCGGUCUGAGAUAUGCAUUCAUUGGUUGCAGAGAGGCAAAAACUAUGGCAGCAAUACCAAGCUUAACAUGUAUCGAGCUGACAUAGAAACCGCGAAGUUCGGCAACUGCAAAAAGAACACCAAGUAGGAUAAUUGCUAAUCCUGAAUAUUGUAGGUAAAUAUGAAUUUGGUACCAUCCAUCACCCUUUACAUGUUUUAGGUAUCUAGCAGCCAAUAUUCCACCAGGAAUCAAAAUACACCAGGAGAGGAACAGUAUAAACCCAUGUACAGCUUUGACAGGUUGUAAACCUUGCUCAGCCUCGGAAGAACCACGGAUAAGCAGCACUUACACAGGCCUUUGACUCGUGACAGUAUGCAUGUAUUUCUCACUGAGAUGUUCAUCAGUCCACUUUGAACCCAUUGCCCAUAUGACUUUAAG
rnacentral:lncRNA from 1 species